ACAGAGACACAGAGCGUCAGAGGAGAAAACUGGGAAUGUUUUGGGGAAAAUGAAAAGCAGGGAUCCUCACUUUCUCUGCGCGCAUUUUCAUCUAACUUUACUCUGAGGCAUAACAAGAAUUUCCAUUGAGGAAACAAUUUUUUAAAGUAUAUUCCUCCUUUUUCUGUGAUUUAUAUUUUAAAUAGCGGCAGAAACCUGGGAAAUUACACUUUAAUGUUUAAUUAACUGAAUCUAAACUCCUGCUGAUGAAUAACAGAUGAGGAAUAAUUAUUCAAACAAGCUAAAAUAAAGAAAGAAAGAAAAGCUCAUCCCGGACGCGAUUUACCCGUUAAAACCCGGAUUUGAGCCGAGCAUGGCUCUGCCUCUGCACCGCGCUCACAAUUAACGGGAAAACAGCUGAAAUGCGACCAAACUGCCUUAAUUUGGGUCCAAACGUCCCGAGCUCGAACCCUGAUCUGUACACAUUCAAGCUUUUAAAAACGCAUUUUAGACCGGAUCCAAACUUUCUUUUUAACACCAAAUAUGACCCGAGUUUUGCUGCUGGGGUUUAGAUUUCGCGCUGGGCGUCUGUAGACAUUUUGCUACGUUGGUCCAAUCAAACAAAUAAUAAAGAAAUAAAUGCUCGGUGGGAUGUUCUGCGGCUCGGCUCGCUUGGAUCUUACAGAACCGAAUAUUCACAGAUGAGGUUGGUUCCGUUGAAGCCAAAAGGCUGAAAGAAACGGGCUACAGAUCGGGAGCGGGGUCCGUGUCCGGAGAGAAUGCUCGCUUCCCCGGACUGUCAGAUCCAAGCCGGGACGCCUCCACUGUUAUCCGCUCCAUUUUCCUUCCUUUGUUGGAAUAAAUAAGGAAAGAGGAGGAAGAAGGAGAAGCCCCCUGAAACGCACGCCACCUAUCUUCACGGGAGGGGAUAAUUGAGGAGAGUCAAACGUGAGCAUCUUCUGGGUUGAAGUUGUUUUUUUUCUGCUCUCCUUUCUCUCUCUCUCUCUCUCUGUGUGUCUGUCUGUCUUUCUCUCCCUCCUCUCCUUUCUUUUUUAUUUUGCAGGGAACUGUAUCGGGCUUCGACGCGGCGCAACAGAAAACAUGCGGCUGUUUUCCAUCUAUUUUGCAGCGACUGCGCGCAGAAUCAGAGGAGAGGAGACUGGACUCUUGGUACACCAGAAGACUCAGAGGGACUCGCUUUCUUAACGUGUUUCAGAGGAAGAAGAAGAGGAGAGUCUUUACUGGUCGUGGAUCCAGUCCUGGCUGAAUUAUCGUCAUGCUUAAUUUACUGCCACGGUGUGCGCAUAUAAACUAAGCACACACACACACACACACACACAUACACACACUCACGGCGAGCCUGGAGUGGCCUCCUCCGUGGGGCCACAUAUUCACCGUGAAAACGGAUUACAGUCGCUAUGUGACCUAUAGGGGGACCUUGUGCUUAAUGAAUAUAUGGCUCUAAAUCAAGGGACGGGGAUUUGUUGAUUUUGGUUGGUAAUUCUAAAUAAACCACCUAUAUUUUGCUUUAUGUUUUGCAAAAAUGAUUGUCUUCUUGUCUUUUUCCUCUGAAUAAAAUCUCAAACUGUA